ACAGAUACUACAACAGCAGGUGAUACCAAGCCCCAAACCAGAAUACCCGUGUCCAGGUUCAAACCGGCAGCCGAACGCGUGCUGAAGGAGAAAAGAGAUGACAAUUCACAGAAGAGUAAAAGAGAAGCGCCAGAAAAACCACGUCGUACCUCCAUACCCAA